GACGAACGCUGGAGGCGUGCUUAACACAUGCAAGUCGAACGAUGAAAUGGAGCUUGCUCCAUGGAUUAGUGGCGAACGGGUGAGUAACACGUGAAUAACCUACCCUUAAUUUUGGAAUAACCCAGGGAAACCUGGGCUAAUACCGGAUAAGUAAACCUGUGGCAUCACAUGGUUUUGGAAAGUUUUUCGAUUAAGGAUGGAUUCGCGUCCUAUCAGAUUGUUGGUGAGGUAAUGGCUCACCAAGGCGACGACGGGUAGCCGGCCUGAGAGGGUGAACGGCCACACUGGGACUGAGACACGGCCCAGACUCCUACGGGAGGCAGCAGUGGGGAAUAUUGCGCAAUGGACGAAAGUCUGACGCAGCGACGCCUCGUGAGGGACGAAGGUCUUCGGAUUGUAAACCUCUUUCAGCAGGGACGAAGCGAAAGUGACGGUACCUGCAGAAGAAGCACCGGCUAACUAUGUGCCAGCAGCCGCCGCCG
rnacentral:rRNA from 1 species